GAUCUGCAGGAUCCUGCUGCUCAUCAUCCUCACCUCAUGUGUCUCUGGAUCAUUUGUAGUCAAUGUGACACAGACCUCCUAUCAGGCAGAGGAGAACCACAACAUCACACUGGAGUGGACGUUCACACCCACAGCUGAGAGCUUUUCCAUCAUCUGCGAAAAGGAAGCUGAUAAUACAGCCUGGGUCUUCUAUCAUGUUCAUGAAGGUGUUGAGGUGUCAGAGUCUCAGGAUGAAACGUUUUCAGGACGAGUCCAGAGUGACAAAGACGCCCUCAGAGAAGGACGAAUCAGACUUCAGCUGUCCAGACUCAGGACUGAUGACUCGGCAGCUACUGACCAACUCCAGUCUCAGAGUGCAGAAAGUUGGGGAAGGAAUAAACUUUCCAUCGGACUGGGAC